rnacentral:tRNA from 1 species
GGGUCGCUAGCUCAACGGUAGAGCUGCGGACUUUUAAUCCGUAGGUUCCGGGUUCGAGCCCCGGGCGACCCACAA